UCCUACGGGAGGCAGCAGUGGGGAAUAUUGCACAAUGGGCGCAGGCCUGAUGCAGCGACGCCGCGUGGGGGAUGACGGCCUUCGGGUUGUAAACCUCUUUCGCCAGGGACGAAUGUGAGUGACGGUACCUGGAGAAGAAGCACCGGCUAACUACGUGCCAGCAGCCGCGGUAAUACGUAGGGCACGAGUGUUGUCCGGAAUUAUUGGGCGUAAAGAGCUCGUAGGCGGUUUGUUGCGUCGGCCAUGCAAACUGGAGGCUUAACCUUCAGCUUGCGGUCGAUACGGACAGACUUGAGUUCGGUAGGGGAGACUGGAAUUCCUGGUGUAGCGGUGAAAUGCGCAGA
rnacentral:rRNA from 1 species